UGGACACAUGUCCUUUUUCAGCCUAUGUAACUAUUUAAAACAAAACUGGACACAAAUAUAAGUUCAAUGCCAGAAUCAAGGCAAUAUUUUUUGCUCUGUAUGAGCAUAGGUCAAGGUUAACAAAGACUUAUAUACAGCCAAAAAGUUGCCUGUUUCUGUCUAAUAAAUCUGCCGUGGACCUUAUACCUGUGCCCACUCCUUCUUUUCGUUUCACUGAAAAGCUUGGUCGACUGGACUGGAGGCAUGGUUUGUAGAUACCCUAUUUCUCUAUCUUCU